GCUUGUCUCAAAGAUUAAGCCAUGCAUGUCUAAGUAUAAACGAUUUUAUACGUGAAACUGCGAAUGGCUCAUUAUAUCAGUUAUAGUUUAUUUGAUGGUCCUUACUAUUUGGAUAACCGUAGUAAUUCUAGAGCUAAUACAUGCGUAAAUACCCAACUGCUUGUCGGACGGGUAGCAUUUAUUAGAUUGAAACCAAUGCAGCUUCGGCUGGUAUUGUGUUGAGUCAUAAUAACUGUGCGGAUCGCUUUUUAAGCGAUAAAUCGAUUGAGUUUCUGCCCUAUCAGCUUUGGAUGGUAGGAUAUGGGCCUACCAUGGCGUUAACGGGUAACGGGGAAUUAGGGUUUGAUUCCGGAGAGGGAGCCUUAGAAACGGCUACCACAUCCAAGGAAGGCAGCAGG
rnacentral:rRNA from 1 species